GCCAUUCAUGGGUGGUUAACACACAGGAGUACAGUGCAUCUCUAGUGUUGCUGGACUACCUCUAUCUGAUAAUCCACCUGACACAGCACAACACAGACAGACAGACAGCGAGAGGGCGAAAGAGAAGCUCCUGGCUAGGAGGGAAAGGGGCCAGAAGCAGAGGGCAUGACACCUGACCACCAGCAAAAUGAUCCAGUGGACGAACGAAGAAUCCAGUACCUUUUUCACCCAGCCCCCAGUAAUCAAAGAAAAAAGCAGAGAGUUCUCCUCAUGUCCUUGUUCAUCUGGUGAGGGAUACCUGCCAGAGCUGAUUUGCACACCAGAGGACAAUGAUGGUGAUGACUGGUGCAAAAAAGCUCACAUCGCACCAACAUCAGUUAUGCUUCUGAAGCAGAAAAACUUGGAGUGGACUAUACAGUACAUAUUAAUGUCUGUUUUCUACUGAUCUUUGUGACAGUCUGUCUGAUUACAGAAUUUAUAAUGUGUGAUUUGCUGUUAAUUUCCUUGAAUGACAUUGCAAA